CUUAACAGUUAAGCAUUAACUGACACAUCGAAGUGUGUGUUCAUAGUGGUGCUUCACGUUAGCGCUUUUAACU